AUUCCGAGGAGCAUGCCUGUUUGAGUGUCAUGAAAU
rnacentral:rRNA from 1 species